ACUUAAAUUGAAGAGUUUGAUCAUGGCUCAGAUUGAACGCUGGCGGCAGGCCUAACACAUGCAAGUCGAGCGGUAGCACAGAGAGCUUGCUCUCGGGUGACGAGCGGCGGACGGGUGAGUAAUGUCUGGGAAACUG
rnacentral:rRNA from 1 species